GUCUCUUUGAAAAUUUAAUAAUAAAGAGUUUGGCCUGCUCAGUGAGAUUUUUAACAGCUGCGGUAUUAUAACUGUACUAAGGUAGCAUAAUAAUUUGCCUUAUAAAUUAAGGCUAGAAUGAAUGGUUUGACGAAAAUUAUACUGUCUCUAUUUUAAUUAAUAGAAAUUAAUUUUUAUAGUGAAAAAGCUUAGAUAAUUUAAAGGGACGAGAAGACCCUAUUGAGCUUUAUAUUAGUUAUAAUAAAUAAUAAAAAUAUAAUUUAUUUGGUUAAAUUAGUAUUAUGUUAAUAAUAUUUAUUAUGUUUAAUUUUGAUUGGGGUGAUCAAGGAAUAAAGUAGAUAUUAUUUAACUUCCUUAAAAUUUAAUUUUUUUAGAAUAAUUAACCAAUGAUAUUGCUUAUAUGAUAAGUUACCAUAGGGAUAACAGCGUAAUUUUUUUGGAGAGUUCAUAUUAAAAAAAGAGAUUGCGACCUCGAUGUUGGAUUAAAAUAACCAUAAGGUGAAGAGGCUUUAUUUGGUGAAUCUGUUCGAUUUUUAAAAUUUU
rnacentral:rRNA from 1 species